rnacentral:lncRNA from 1 species
AAAAGCAGUGGGGAAAUUGGUUGAGUUUCAGAGCACGUCCUCCUCGGCAGAGGGGGCUGGACUAGACCUUGGACAGCCCCCCCAAAAACUUGCCGAGCCUCGCACACACCACUUCACUCUCCACUCCGAGGCUCACGGAGCAAGUGCCUGGCGUGGGGGGGAAAAGUUGGCUUUUUUUUUCCUCCUUCGUCUUUUGCGCCCUUCUCUCUCUUCCCAGAGGGGAAGAUCCGUUUAAACUAUUUUAGACGCAAUCAAGCAAGAAUCACCGUGUGGAAGUGAGCGGCAGUUUUAAAUGUGCUAAGGAGAGGAAUGAUCUGAAAAAACAAUUUUCUUUUUUUGAGACGCCGAAAGGAGCCUGUGUAUGUCCUGCGGCCGCCCUGUGACUCUGGAUCUUGUCUUCUGGCCGGCGCUUCGAUUCCUGCCCAGCUGGAUUUGAGGGGCAGCAGUGCCUGGCGCAGGGAGGAGAGCAAAUGAGACUACAAAGAAGCAUAAAAUGAAUAGACAGUUCAACCAGCCAAAGACCGGGGGCAGCAGCACGCCAGCAAGACGGCAUCUUCUCCUCCCCAGCCUAGAAGCCCUGUGAAAUCGAGGAUCUUCCCCCUAAAACACACACACACAAGAUAUGUGCAAUCAAGCUGCCACCGCUUGGUAAAAAGCUCAUGGUGCCUAACCCAAAAGGAUCGGGAGCAGAUCCUUGAAUCAGCUGUCACUUCUUCUAUAGAAUGGGAUGGUUUUUUUCCUUCCUCCUUAACCUGCGCUGGAAAUUGCCGUUGGCUUUAUACGUCUCUAUAGAGGGAGGCUAAAGAGUCUUGCGUGAGAAUGAAGCAAUUUACAAUGCAAAUAGAGGCCUGUGAAGGGACGGAUGCUGCUGCUCACUCGUAACCGCUUGCUGCACCUUAAUAGCUGGUUUUAUUUUCUGAUAUUAAUAGAUGAAUUGUUGGCUAACGCUGCCGGAGAUUACUUGCUGAAAGGAAAAAAAAGUUCGGAAUAAACUUUGAAAGCAACAGAUCUCGUUUGGAUGU